CCUACGGGGGGCUGCAGUGGGGAAUAUUGGACAAUGGGGGGAACCCUGAUCCAGCCAUGCCGCGUGUGUGAAGAAGGCCCUCGGGUUGUAAAGCACUUUCAGUGAGGAAGAACGCCUGGUGGUUAAUACCCAUCAGGAAAGACAUCACUCACAGAAGAAGCACCGGCUAACUCCGUGCCAGCAGCCGCGGUAAUACGGAGGGUGCGAGCGUUAAUCGGAAUUACUGGGCGUAAAGCGCGCGUAGGUGGCUUGAUAAGCCGGUUGUGAAAGCCCCGGGCUCAACCUGGGAACGGCAUCCGGAACUGUCAAGCUAGAGUGCAGGAGAGGAAGGUAGAAUUCCCGGUGUAGCGGUGAAAUGCGUAGAGAUUGGGAGGAAUACCAGUGGCGAAGGCGGCCUUCUGGACUGACACUGACACUGAGGUGCGAAAGCGUGGGUAGCAAACAGGAUUAGAUACCCGGGUAGUC
rnacentral:rRNA from 1 species